rnacentral:lncRNA from 1 species
AUGGUCGGCCAAACCAGCAAGAAGAGAGAGAAAACAAAAACCAAAUCCUAGAGAGAGAAAAUCAAAGAAAAAGUGUGAAUUUUCAAGGAAAUUAAGUGAAAAAGGUGAGAUUUUUUCUAUUAAGCUUGAGUUUUCUUAUUCCCAAGCAUUUCUCUUUAUUUUCCAUGAUUAAAUUACAUGUUUUCAUGAUGAAUUCAAUUCUGAAAAAAUGGGUUAGGAGAGAGAAAGUUGUUGGAUUUAUUUGAUUUUAAUUUAUGUUAGUGUUUUUAGUUAGUUUAGCAUAUUUAGAAACAAAACAACAAGAAAAGAAUUUAUUUUCUCCCCCAACCAUUAAUGGCUGAAUUUACCAUGUAGUGAGUGAGGAUGAGUUUGAUUUUAUUCUAGGAGAAUUGGUUAAGGAAUAAUGAAUUAUGAGCCUAGAAAAAUAAUGNNNNNNNNNNNNNNNNNNNNNNNNNNNNNNNNNNNNNNNNNNNNNNNNNNNNNNNNNAUUAUGAAAUCAUGGUUUUUGAUAUGGAAAUUAAUGAAUUAUGGAAAGAAAAUCAAGUAGGAAAAAUUGUGACAAUGAUGCACCAUUUUGGCCGAAUUUUUCCAAGAAGGAAUAUGAAUGUGGCUUUGCUGAUUUUUGGGUUAUUUGGCUGGACAUUGGUGAUUUGAAGCAUUAGAAAAAGAAAUGGGAUCAAUUGGAGCUAAAUUGGAUGUGUAUUUCAAUUUAUCGGGUAAAAGACCGAAAUAGGUUAAUACAGUGUUUAGGCAAAAUUUAGACCUUUUGCAUUCCAUAUCAUGCAUUAGUAGUCUAAAUUUGUUUAAUUUCAAUUUAGUACCAAUGUGGUGAAUUUCUUGAUUUUGUAUUGUGUCAAGGUGGUGAGUCCUCCGAUAAAGGCAAGGGAAUUGCAUCCGAAGACCAGUAGUCUGAGUAUUUCGAAAAUCCCCACUCUAGACAUUGUGAGUAACCUUAUCAUCAUUUUAAUUAUCUAAAGUAUGUUUUAACUCGGUUUUGGUGAAAUUUAUAUGAAAAUGAGUUAAAUGGCUAAGUUUAGGUUUUGCAAACAAAAAUGUGUUUAAAUGAAAAGAUUUUAUAAAUUGUCUUGAAACGAAAUAACGAUUUUGAAAAUAGAGUAAUUAGAGACCACUGGUAUGUUGCAAAUUUAUGAUUGGAAAUUGAUGGCUUAUGUUAUAUUGUUCAUGACUGGUUGGGCUGUAUUUUAUGAAUUGUAUGAAUUAUUUUAUUUUACCCUUGCAAGCUGGGUAGUAUUAUAUUAGCCCUGUCAUGUUGUUAAAAUUUUAUUGUAUGGUGGGUUUAGCUUGCUGCAGUAGGCGAGUUUUGUGGACCAGCCUAUUAGAGGGGUACAAAAUCUAGAUAUAUAUAUAUGUACCUCAGUUGGAGAGGCGCGUAGGGUAUCUCUUGAGGUAUGGUUAGAGUUCACGUCACACCGAACCACCUCAUGACGAUGAACUCUGCUAACGCCAAGGAAUGACUGUAUUUUUCAAACUAAAAAUAUGUUUUACGAGUAUACAAAAUUUUAACAGCCUUGGCGGGCUCAAGUGUAUGCCUCUGAUCAAGGUGUCAUCCAGUAUAUUUGAUGGCAUGAGCCAACUGUUUAUGAAAGUCAUAAGCCCUAAUGAGAAAUUAAAUGAAAUACAACCGUUUGCAUGGGUUGGAAUGAAUUUUCAAAUUGUUAAAUACUUAAAAUAAUGGGAUAUUUUAAUUGUCUCAUUUUACUCGGCUUUAGCUUAUUUAAAUGGUGUUUGUUUACUCACUAGGAUUUUAUAAUCUCACCACCCUCCUUUCCACCCAUUUCAGGAUCAGAGUAGUCUGUAAAUAGCUGGUUCCAUCGGGGAUUUCCAUUGGAUUGCGUUUUCCAAACUGUAAGUUCACAGCUUCUUUAAUUCUAAUUAUUAUGGGCCCACUUGAUUAUUGUAAAUUUAAUAGUUUAUUUUGCUACAAUAUGAUGAAUUUAUUUUGUUUUUACGUUACAAAAAGUAUUUACGCAUAACUCCAAAAUUACUGUUUAUAAGAAAAUAAAAUAUUUUAUUGAAUAUCUUGUUUUAUCUUCUUAUUAUAUUUAAACAAUUAUAAUUUUAUUUUAAAUAAAGGUUUUAGAUGCCUAAACUUAUUUUUAAUUGUAAAUUAUGCGAUUGGUACUUGUUUACUGCAUUUUUAACUGGUUUCAAAAUUUUCAGUGAAAAAUGACCAAAAUGCCCCUGUGAGAUAAUUUUUAUUUUAUCAGUUUUAAGUUGGAAAUAGCUCAAAAUCCUUUAGAACAUAAAAUUUGGCAACGGUUACUCACCGAGGGAAAUGAGAAACUGAUAUUAAGCCUUGCGGGGUUCCGAUUGACAUUUCGGGAGAUGAGUGCCCAUUGGGGCACCGCGACGGUUGUCACGGGCUUGAGGGGAGUUCCGGGUUGUGACAAAUUAAGAUGAGACUUGGAAAGGAACCUUAAAGGAAAAUUUUGGACAACUUUAACCUUGAGAAGUUGAGUUAUUGAUUAAAGGGAUUAGUUAAGAUCAUAUGAGGUAUGUGAUUGUCAUGAUUUAUUGAAAUGCUUCGUGAUAUAAGUUAAGAUGUAUCUAGUAAGCACUCGAUCAUUAAAGUACUGGAGUUUUGUUUAUGGGAAUAUGGUUACUAAUAGUUACUAGAUUUGAAUCAUCCAUGAUGUUAAAUAUAUCUGAAAUAAAUAAAGCUUGUUUUGAUCUUUACAUAUUAUGACAUGCUCGAAUGGAAUUUGUAUGGAAGUAUGUAAAAUAGAAUAGACGUUGGUUGAUGAUUUAGACCCACAGUCAAUGGUGGAAUAAAUGCUUGAAUGUUGGAAGGUUUGAUAAAAGGUCAAGGUAGAGGAAAUGUGGAUGGUUAAGUAAACAUGUAUAAUUGAUGAUUUAAGGAUGAUUUGAUUGAUAUGUGACCAGAAUUAAUAGCAUAUUUGAAUUUUCUUCAUAACAUGAAGAAUGGUAUCAUUUUGAUCCAACAAGAGCAGUACACAUAAUUCUAUAUCUUAUGUUAAGAAUGGCCAACGGAAGUGAUGCAAAAGAAUUUAGAAUUUUGAUUGUUCACCCCACGUCGAUUCGAAUUUGAGGACAAAUUCAUUAUAAGUUGGGGAAAUUGUAGUAUCUCGUACUUUGAGGUGGUGGCUAAUAAUGCUUACCGGCUACUAAUUGAGGUUGAUUAUUGAGUAAAAGGGGUAAUUCAGAAGUAAACCUGCGAAACCUCGACCUCUAUAGACAUGUAACUAGAAGUAGAUACGAUAAAACAGAUUAGGGGUAAUUUCAUCAUUUUCUUUAGUGAGCCCCUAAAAGUAUGCUUUCAAACAUUAUUAAGGCUUAAGUAGGCCUAAGGCACAAAUGAAUGAUGAAAAUAAGAAUAAGAUGACGAAGGAAAUAGAAAUAAUGAUGAUUUCCAAGGUAGGGGUAAAAUGGUCAUUUUGCAUCUCAAGUAUAAAUUUUUAAGUUUUCACGAACUUGAGUACUUCUAGACCAUUAUGGACUUUGUCUCAAUGUCCAAAGAGUAAAAAGUUGAACCGAAGGAAAGAAGAAGACAAAGUCACCUUAUGGAGGGCAUUUUGGUAAAUUACAUGAAAAAUGGAUAAACUUUAGACAUAAAUAUCCAAAGCUCCAGUAAUUUCCAGUAGCUUCCAACCAUUUCUUCUUCUCUUCCUAGCUCAUGUUUCUUUAUCUCCAUGGGAGCCUCCCAUAAAGCUUCCAUAGCUCUUUAAAUUAACUUCAAUUUACAUGCUUUGGUACACUUUUUCAUAAAACCUUUGGUACUCUUUCACUCCCUCACCUUAAAACCCUCAAAAGUCUUUCUUUAGCACUUUUUCUUACUAGUUGGAAGUUUUAGAGAGAGAAAGAGAGACUUGCCAUAGUAGCUUGAAAACUCUUGAAAAUGAGUUCAACUACAAGUCCACAAGGUGAGAGAAGAGUUAGAGUAGAACUUUAGUAAUGAAAUUGUGUUCACUGCUUUAGGCAUUGAACUGUAAGGUAUGGACUUGUAUCCACCUUGUGAACACCUUGAUGAGAUAAAUUCGAGAGAUUUUCACAAUGAGAAAACAUUAAAGCCCAAGGAGCAAAUAGCUAUAUAGUCACGUUAGGGCUCGUGACUGAUAUGUCACAUAAGUAUAAAGAUAAGUUGCAAAAACGAAGAUGUCUAGAAAUGUUGGUUUAAGGCAACGAUUAUCUUGCCAUUAUGCAGACCCGAUGAGGUUUGACAUUUGAAAUAACUUUAAGGAAUCUAAAGUUAAGUAUGUUUGCAUGUGACAUAUGACUAAUAAGUUGGUUAUGACUCGGGAAUUAUAAAGAUUGGUUAAGUCAUGAGGAUGCAUGCAAGAAUAUCGUUAAUUAUUGAAAUGCAUUGUGGUAUAAGUUGAAAUUACUUAGAGAGCACUCGAUCAUGAAAAUAUUGGAGAUUAUUUUCAGGAAUAUAGUUCUAUCGGUUACUGGAUUUGAAUCAUUUGCAAUGUUGAAUAUAUAGGAAAUGGAUAAAACAUUUUAAUCCUUGUGUAUUAUGAAAUGCUUGAAUGGGAUUUGUAUGGAAGUAUGUAAAACAAAAUAGAGAUUGAUUGAUGAUUUAGACCCACAGUCAAUGGUGGGAUAAAUGCUUGAAUGUUGAAAAGUUUGAUAAAAGGUCAAGGUAGAGGAAUCGUGAAUGGUUAUAUAAACAUGCAUGAUUGAUAAUUUAAGGUUGAUUUGAUUGCGGUGCAACUAGAAUUAAUGACAUAUUUGAAUUCUCUUUAUAAAAUGAAGUAUAGUAUUAAUGUGAUUCAAGAAGUGUAGUACACAUAAUUGUAUAUACUAUGGUAUUGUCGAGUUUUCUAUAAAGAUUGGAAGAUGAUAUAAAGUAUAAACCAAGAUCCUAUGUUCAGAACGGCCAACAAAAGUGAUGUGGUAGAAUUUUAAGACUUUCAUUAUUCACCUUACGUUGAUUUGAAUUCGAAGACGAAUUCAUUUUAAGUGGGAGAAACUGUAACGCCCCGUACUUUGAUAUGUUGAUUAAUAGAACAUGUCGGAUAUCAAUUGAGGAUGAAUUAAUGAUAUAAAAAGUGAUUUGGAAGUGAAUCGGGGCAUAAUAAGAUACUUUGAGUGCCAAGGAGACAAGUGAAAAAUUUUAGAAGAAAAUAAUAUUAAAAUAUUAAUAUUUUAUUAAGUGUCGAAAUUUUCAAUGAAAAAGGAAUAUAUGGUCAAUCUAAGUGGGGGAGAAGAAGAACGAGAAAAUUUCAAAAAAAAUUGACGUUAAUAGGGCUCACGUGUCUUUAUUAAAUAAAGCUAGCGCAAGUAAGUAAAUAUUUAAAUAUUACGGUGUACUGCAUUGAAGUAUAAAAUUGAUAUUUUAUUGAUACAAGUAUUAAGGAAGAAAAAUGGAAAGAAAUUAGAAUUAAAAGAUUGUGGGAGGAUACAAUUAAAAAGGAUGAAAACCUUGGAGGGUAAAAUGGUAAUUUUGACAUUAGUUUGGUUGACUCUUCAUCCUUAUCCCAUGGCUGGUUCUUAUCUCCAGCCAAAAGAUAUUUUCAUCUUAUCUUCCAUGCUCCUAAUGCCAUUUUCAUGCUCCCACGCCAUUUCACCUUACUACCAUGCAUUUGAAAAGAAAAAUGGCUUUGUUUUGCAAGGAAAAUCGUACUCUUGGAAAAUAAAUUGAUGAGAUCAAUUGGAAGAAAGGAGAAAGGAAAGAAGAAAGGAGAAAGAAAAAGAGAGAAAGGAAGAAAAAGCUUGGUUUUGGUGAUUCAAGUAAGGAAAGGUAAGGAUUCUUAUUUUUAGCUUGAGUAAUCUUUGAAAAUGAGUUAGUGACUAAGAGAAAUGUCUCGUGCCAACAAAGAUUGGCUUGAUUGGAGAAAAAUUGGUGACAUACAAGCCAAUAAACCCUGUGGGUACAUGAUGGACUCAAGGUGGAAAAGGAAAGCGAUAAGCUUAACACUAUGUUUAAAGCCUACAGUUAGUUGGAUAUUGUGAGGAAUUAUGGUUGUUGAAAAGAUCUAUUUGCAUAAGCUUGUUGAAAAUUGUUAAGUUUGUAUGGCAUGCUGUUUGAAAGAAAUGAAAAAGGAAUAUUGUGGAUGGAGGAUUAAGAAACAAAGUAUUGAAAGUUAGAUAGAUAAUGAUGCAUGUAAACUUGGAAAUAAUUGAGUGAAAGUGAGAAUGAUUGUUGCUGCCAUAUAUGUGGGUUAUGUGUGAAAAUAUAAGACGAAUUUGAAUGAAAAUGGCUGGAAAAGGUUGAUAUGGGUGCUAGAGUCAUAAAUAAGUUACCGGUAAUUAUAAUUUAAAGAAUUACGCAAGCAAAGGAUAAAGGCAACUUUGGUAAAAAUGUGUCAAGAUGUAUAUGAAUAUGCAAUGUUAAGUGAGGAAAAGUGGUGAUUCUAGCAUAGUAUGAGUUAUUAACAUGAUGGUAAUGUUUGAAUAAGGAAGAAAAUGGGAAUGAUAAACACUAAGAUUAUUCGAUUUGGUUUAUUGCCAAGAAGUGUGCAAGUGAAAAAAAAAAAAGACACCGUGGUGAUCAACUAAAGGAGAAAACACACCCGGAUAAGUGGCGAAGUGAUAUCUCGCCAUUGUAAGGUGAGUAGAGGGUGCCUAUUUCAAAAAUUUCCAUAGCUAUAUAAUGUUAUACGUUUUAUAAAUGUUGUCAAAUUUCGUUAAAUGCAAUUGUGGAAAGCAUGAGCCGUUAGCCUCGAUAGGUGAUUUCUAAAUGGAUUUAUAAUGAUUUAUACACUGUUAUUGUAGAAAGCAUGGGCUGGUAAAACUCGUAGUAAAUUGUGGAUGCAAGUUGUUUUGAAAAUUGUUUUGGAUAUAUCUAUAGAUGAGCUAUAUACGUAAAGUGUUUUAGAAACCGGGAAACAAGCCCUUUUAUAUUGUUUUGCAUUCAAAAUUUGUGCCUUGUAUUUUUGUGUGAUAUGCAUAGUUUAAAUGAAAUAGUUAAAUGAUUUAAAAUGCAAGAUUUGAGCAUCGGUUUUAGUCCGAUCUUUGUAUAAGAGAAUACAACAUGCCUUUUUAUGUGAAAAGUAAUUUGAAGGCUUAUUGAACCUUGGUUUCAAAUGGUUUUAAGCGAAAGACUUGGAAACUUCAAUGUGAUUUUUGAAAAUGGUUUGGAC